rnacentral:rRNA from 1 species
CACCGGGUGCUAACGUCCGGACUCAAAAGGGAAACAACCCAGACCGCCGGCUAAGGUCCCAAAUAACAGCUAAGUGGAAAACGAAGUGGAAAGGCCGUGACAACCAGGAAGUUGGCUUAGAAGCAGCCAUCCUUCAAAGAAAGCGUAAUAGCUCACUGGUCGAGUCCUUCUGCGCGGAAGAUGUAACGGGGCUAAGCUGUUAACCGAAGCCGCGGAUGCGCUGGUUAUCCAGUGCGUGGUAGGGGAGCGUUCUGUAAGUCUGCGAAGGCGGUUCGAGAGGACUGCUGGAGAUAUCAGAAGUGCGAAUGCUGACAUGAGUAACGUUAAAGCAGGUGAAAAGCCUGCUCGCCGUAAGCCCAAGGAUUCCUGCUCUACGUUCAUCGGAGCAGGGUGAGUCGGCUCCUAAGGUCAGGCCGAAAGGCGUAGCCGAUGGGAAUCAGGUUAAUAUUCCUGAACCUGCGUCAGAUGCGAUGGGGGGACGGAGCAUGGAAGAUCAUCCGGGUGUUGGAAGUCCCGGUUGUUUAGCGUAGGAGGUCUGCAGGCAAAUCCGCAGACGCAUCUCCAAGGCAAAGACACGUGCCGCCACGGCGGCGAAGUGAUCGGAAGUGCUUCCAAGAAAAGCCUCUAAGCACCAGUCUGAUGCGGACCGUACCGCAAACCGACACUGGUGGGCGAGCUGAAUAUGCUCAGGCGCUUGAGAGAACUCGGGAGAAGGAACUCGGCAAAUUGACACCGUAACUUCGGAAGAAGGUGUGCCGUAGUACCGUGAGAGGAGAGACACCUUGAGCGGGAAACGGUCUCAGAGAAUAGGUGGCUGCGACUGUUUAUUAAAAACACAGCACUCUGCAAAGUCGAAAGACGACGUAUAGGGUGUGAUGCCUGCCCGGUGCUGGAAGAUUAAUUGAUGGGGUGAGAGCCCUUGAUCGAAGUCCCAGUAACCGGCGGCCGUAACUAUAACGGUCCUAAGGUAGCGAAAUUCCUUGUCGGGUAAGUUCCGACCUGCACGAAUGGCAUAACGAUGGCCACACUGUCUCCUCCCGAGACUCAGUGAAGUUGAAAUGUUUGUGAUGAUGCAAUCUCCCCGCGGCUAGACGGAAAGACCCCAUGAACCUUUACUGCAGCUUUGCAUUGAACUGUGAACCGAUUUGUGUAGGAUAGGUGGGAGGCAGAGAAGAGGCCACGCCAGUGGCCUUGGAGCCGACCUUGAAAUACCACCCUGAUUUGUUUGCGGUUCUAACCACGGACAGUGAUCCUGUCUUGGGACCGUGCAUGGUAGGCAGUUUGACUGGGGCGGUCUCCUCCUAAAGGGUAACGGAGGAGUACGAAGGUACGCUAGGUACGGUCGGAAAUCGUGCUGAUAGUGCAAUGGCAAAAGCGUGCUUGACUGCGAGAGCAACAACUCGAGCAGAUGCGAAAGCAGGUCAUAGUGAUCC